rnacentral:lncRNA from 1 species
UCGUUUGGUCGACGGAAAAGCUGGGGGGUGGUUAGCGGAGCAGCGUGUGUCGGGUCGGUUUAAUACGAUGGGUCGGGCGGGUUUAAUUAAUCGAAUGGGCGGGUCAUCUGGUCCAAUCAAAAGAUGCCACGUGUCAAAAAAAAUCUGAAAACAAGUUUUAAUGGCUGAGGGAUAUAUGGCCCUAAUGUAUAACGGCGGGGACAUAUUUGUUAAAGAAUUCAAACGGAGAAUAAAUAUAGCUUAUUUUGAAUAGUACAAGGAUAUAUUUGACCCUUAACCGUUUGUGGAAUCCCCUAAAGUGCCUCCCACCUGGAAAUUGAGAAUAGAGAAAAUUCUGCAGGGAUACAUGACAUCAAAUUUAUU